CAUCACGUUGAAACACCAAUUCCUGUAUGAUCACUGAAGUUAAGCAAUGUCAGGCCUGGUCAGUACCUAGAUGGGUGACUGCUUGGGAAUACCAACAGCUGUAAG